CAGUAGCCGCGGGAAUACGUAGGGUGCAAGCGUUAAUCGGAAUUACUGGGCGUAAGGCGUGCGCAGGCGGUUAUAUAAGUCAGAUGUGAAAUCCCCGGGCUCAACCUGGGAACUGCAUUUGAGACUGUGUGGCUAGAGUGUGUCAGAGGGGGGUAGAAUUCCACGUGUAGCAGUGAAAUGCGUAGAUAUGUGGAGGAAUACCGAUGGCGAAGGCAGCCCCCUGGGAUAACACUGACGCUCAUGCACGAAAGCGUGGGGAGCAAACAGGAUUAGAGACCCCCGUAGUCCCUGUCUCUUAUAC
rnacentral:rRNA from 1 species